ensembl:lncRNA
AAAUCUUUUUGUUAUGUCUUGAACUGAUAGCUUGCAGAGUUGCAGUGCAUGGCAAAUUACUGCAGCGCAUGUUGACGUCUUCGCACAUUGUUAUGUGUUGGUCCAUUGCUGCUGUGAGUUAGUGGUAUGCAGCAUUACAGGAAUGUGUGUUUUGUGUUAUGCAUGCCCUGGCCUGAACUCAGCCUCACACCUCAGCUAUUUAUUUUAACAAGAAAGGGCAAGACAUCUAAGUUCAGCUCACUGGGAAGAAAAACAUGUGGGCUGACAACGCAAUCUUAAUUUAAGGUCCACUGAAAGAUCAGAAACAGACAGAGAAACACCUAAAAGUUUCCUUCAGGUGCAGGGCACAGCUCCCUUUGGUUAGACGCCUACAUUUUUAAAAUCAAAACAAGACUGAGUGCACUUCCCUUUUCUCUGCUCCAGGAAUCGAAUAGGUUUGUGCCCGGAUUCAUCUGUUCUUAGGUGUUUUCUUAGAACAAAUGCUGCCAUCUUGCUGUCGGUAAAGGAACUGGAUUUUAAAUAUUGGCUUGGUGAAAUUCUCCUGAAGGAGAACCACUUUGGAACCGGUGUUGGGUGCAGAUCUGAUGUUUCGAAACAUUUCCUUUAUCUUUAAGAUCUUCCAUUUUUAUCACUGUCUUAUUAUUUAUGUAAUGCUAUCCCCACAAAGAAGGUUAUGCAGUGUUUGCAAGCGUGUCAUUACUCUGUCUGUAAAAAAAAAAAGAGUUUUGAAUGAAUUCUGAUAAAAAAAAAAAAAUCUUGUAGAGUUGGGUCAUAUUAACACUUUGUUGAAAAUUGAAAUUUGUCUUUCACCCACCAAGGUCACCAAGGUCAACUUAAUGAUUUGUUGGUCAAAAAUUAACAUUUGACCUCUGACCUCCGACCUCUCCUUCAACAUCAACAGAUGAUCUGAAGGUCAAAGUGAUAAUAAUGCUACAUAGAGUUAUUUGAAAUGACAAUAGUUGUCAGACUGACAAGAACAUGCUGGCAUGGGAUACAUUUGGAGAAAAGCUGAUUCAUUUUAUUAUGGCUUUGUUGUGUAUAUUACAAUAAGACGUUAUAACCAUUUAAGUAUGUAAUAAUAUGAAUAAAUGUACAAUAUUUCUUAAUAAUAAUAAUUAUUAUUAAUUGAAAAAAAUUAACUUGUGAUAACAAAAAAAUCACUUGAUAUUUAUUAAACAUAAUUUUAAUAAAUGAACUUUACUAAACGGGAAGAUGAAUGCUCGGUAUUUACUGUAUCUACUCAAGUAAAAAAAAAUAAAAUAAAUAAAAAAGUAAUUGUACUCAAAAUUAUAUCAGUUAUAUUAAAUCUUCCAGUAGUCACAGAUUUCAAAAGGCCAAGUAAAUCUUUGCACUUAUUUUUACUGCACUACAAACAUCUUAACGUAAAACAAAAUGAAUAUAUAGAAAGUACAAGAUUAUUCCUGCUCUGGUCGAGGGUUUUACUCUUGGACUGCUUCUUGUUUGGUUUUUCUCUCAAACUAUCCAAACCUCACUACCUCCUGUUAAUCCCACCCUGAAAGGCAUUAGCUAAAUAUUUAGUUAAAUGAUGGAAACAGGACUAUACUUAGAAGCCCUACUUUUAUUAUGAUUUAGUCAACUUGUGGAUGAAACUUUCUUUACUUGAGAUUAGAGACAAAAAUCUUUUUUUAGGAAGAGUUUUCUUUUAUGCCUUUUAGUGCUGAUGACUUGUGUUCAGUAAAAAUUAAGUAAAUAAAUAAAUAAACAUAAGCCUGUAACUUAGGUACCAAGGUAUCUGAGCAUCAGAUGAUGGAAAAGAAAAUAAUUACAGAGGCUUGGUAUUUCUUUCUAUGAGGUACUUUGUUGCCAGGGUAACUGAAGUAAAGCAAUGGGCUUUUUAUUAUGUGGCUUGUCAUAACAAAGCCCAAUUUUCUCAUGGCUAUUAUGAAAAUGUUCCCACUUUGAUAUGUUGGAAAUGUCAUCCACUAUACAGGGAUGAGAGGCGUGCUGCAGUCAGUUAAAACAGCCAUGUGUACUCAGAUAGUUUGCUUCAGUGUUUUGGACUUGACUGUAUGCAGUCUGUAAUUGAUCAGAUCCACAAUCUAUAAGAAAAAAAAGAUUUUGUUGCCAUUUUGCAUCUUUACACCAUCACAGUGAUUUUAAAUCAGACAAUCAAAAUGUGAUUUAAGUGCAGAAUUUCAGCUUAAAUUAAAGGGAUUUAACUUAAACUGUUUAGGUGGUAGCUAUUUCUAUGCACAGACCUCCAUUGACAGACCCUCAAAAUUAAACAAAUAUGAAAUAAAUAAGGGAUUGUUUUAAAUACAUAUCCUAACAUUUCCAGUCAAUGACUGCGUGAAGUCCAGAAUC